GACGAACGCUGGCGGCGUGCUUAACACAUGCAAGUCGAACGGAAAGGCCCUGCUUUUGUGGGGUGCUCGAGUGGCGAACGGGUGAGUAACACGUGAGUAACCUCCCCUUGACUUUGGGAUAACUUCAGGAAACUGGGGCUAAUACCGGAUAGGAGCUCCUGCUCCAUGGGGGGGGUUGGAAAGUUUCGGCGGUUGGGGAUGGACUCGCGGCUUAUCAGCUUGUUGGUGGGGUAGUGGCUUACCAAGGCUUUGACGGGUAGCCGGCCUGAGAGGGUGACCGGCCACAUUGGGACUGAGAUACAGCCCAGACUCCUACGGGAGGCAGCAGUGGGGAAUAUUGCACAAUGGGCGGAAGCCUGAUGCAGCAACGCCGCGUGCGGGAUGACGGCCUUCGGGUUGUAAACCGCCUUCGCCUGUGACGAAGCGUGAGUGACGGUAAUGGGUAAAGAAGCACCGGCUAACUACGUG
rnacentral:rRNA from 1 species